AGAGCCCAAUGCGGGGCUCAAACUCACAAACUGUGAGACCAUGACCCAAGCCCGAAGUCAGAUGCUUGACCGACUGAGCCACCCAGGUGCCCCUAGGGAAAAUUGUUAACCUGCAGUUGCUACAAUUUCUAACUGAGGAGAUCAAAAAUGAGUAGUGGGAGGUGUAGAAUAUAGAGUUAGCAAAGAAAGAAAAGAAAUGGAGUAAGUUUGAAUAGUGACUUCAGAAAGUCCAAGAUGGUGCCCGAAUGGUUUACUUCAGCAACAGUUGAGUACACAUUCACCAACCUGAGAGUGAUUUCAGAGACCUCCUAAAUUCAGGUUAAGAUUUUUAACCUUAAGGGUGCCUGGGUGGCUUAGUUGGUUGAGUGUCCAACUUCAGCUCAGGUCAUGAUCUCGUGGUUUGUGGGUUCAAGCCCCAUGUCGGACUUUGCACUGACAGCACAGAGCCUGCUUGGGAUUGUCUCUCCCCCUCUUUCUUUACCUCUCUCUCUCAAAAAUAAAUAAACAUUAAAAAAAAAUCUUUUAAAAAAGAUUUUUAACCUUAAAGCUUUUUAACACCAAUUAGUAUAUUAACUAUGUCACAUUUAGGAAACAAAGCUAGGUCGUGAGAUAGGCUAAUUAGUUGAAGGAAACUCUGAUGAAGAAAAAGUAUGAACACAAGCAGGAGGCAUUUAAAUUUGUUUUUCCACCAGAGAUCACACAUACUUGAGUGAUGUUGAUGAAAUUUUCCCAUUUUCAAGCCUGUAUAUUUACAUAUAUAUAAAGUGCUCUUCUCCUUCCUACAGAAACAAUAACACGAUAAAUAAACAGGGAGCUGUUUACUGAGGCAGCAAAUAUUUCUUAGGAUAGUGCCUAAUCCAUGCUGGCAUCGUGCUAAGUGCUGGAGGCUGCAAACAAGACAAAAUGCUGGAUAUAAAUCAAAGACUUGGAAUAAUCCAAGAAGCAUUUAUCCAAGAAAAGUUGCUGAAUCAAGGGCCAUGUGAAGGCUUUCUCUGAAAAAGCUCGUCUAAUCCCACAGCUCCAGUUACCAAAUCUGUACUGAUUUGUCUAGAACUUAGUCUCCAGCCUAAGUCUUUCUCUGAAGCUCCAGCACCUUAUACCCAGUGGCCUCCUGAACAACUCCCCUUGGAUAUUCUGCAG